rnacentral:sRNA from 1 species
GGGAUAUCAACUGUGUCUCCGGAGGCGGACUACGAAACAAUAUAACACAAUGUUUACAAUCCAAUAAAGAAACACGCGAUA